rnacentral:lncRNA from 10 species
GCAGCCAGAGUGACCUUUCACUAAUCCUUGUAUGACCUCUGAAAAUAUGACCUGAAGCAGAUGGAUGCACUCACAUAAGAAACAUCACCUGUGGCCUUCAUCGAAAAUGGGCCUGCUGCUUGAAGAAGUUGGGCUCUUGGAGUUCUCUAGCACAGGGGCCAUGAAAAUCAAUGACUUCCUUGUUUGCUGACGGAGCAGAGGUAGAAUCUCUUGGUGUUUCCACGGAGAAAACACUGACCAUGAAGAGCCAAGAAAGAUGACAUGAUGAAGCCAUCAGGGGAAGCACCAAACAUCCUCAACUCUGCUCACCCAUGGUUUUCUCCCGCCCUCCCAGAGCUCCUCCUGCGUGAGUAAUGCAGUGUGUGCUGGUGCAGUGUCUCACUGAAAAAAGAAAGAAACCCUGAUUUGCAGCAUUGGCCAAUUUCUGUAGUGUAAAUACUCCCACCAUAGCAGAUUUCAGGUUACCAAGGGUUUCACAACUGGUUCACAAGUCUUGACUGUAAUGACCAGCUCAUGCAACUCCAGCAUCUCAUCAUCUCCGCCCUGUCCCAGAAAAUCCCCACAUCACACCCAGGCUGAAUAUCACUUUCAGCUUCUCAGUCAGAAGGAGAAGUGGUUAACUAUGCCAGGAUGGUAAUGACUAAAUAUCAGAAUGGUGAGUGUGGAGGGUCAGGAUGUCUGCCAAAUUGGAGAUGACUCUUCACUUCUCAAUCUUGGUGUCUCAUCUGGGGAAGCUGGAGGGAGACAUGCACAGCUUCUCAUGAACAGUCCUGGAAGCCCUUACCCCAAGGCCUCAUGGGGCUCUCUCCAGGGCUUGCUCUUUGUCACUCCUUUAAAAGCCUGUCAUUCAUUGCCAGAGAACAGAAGACUCCAUCCUAAGGCCAAGUUGAAAACGGCAGGCUUGGGAGCUGUCUAGACUCUGGGUCCUGGCUUUUGUCUUGGCUGGUGUCAAAAUGGACUCUUUAAAAACUGUCCUCAGGAAGAUUCCCCAUCCAACUCUGAACAGCCUGGACUGAUCUUUUUCUGAUUUUUAGGGGUCUUGUGAACAAGAGUCAGGUGGGCGGGCAGCUCUUGUAAAGCUGAACAUAACCAAAUUUGUCCAUAGCCUGUGACAGCAAAGAUCACAAAAUUCUUCCCUCCCCUUUAGGGCCUGGGAGUGACGCCGAACCAAGGGGAGGAUAGUGACCUAUUUUAUCUCCCAAACAUUGGGCAGCCAGUUGCAUUUGCAGAUUUAAAAUCCACCCACACUACUGCAGUUUCUGUUCUCCUGCCCCCCCGAGCAUACUUCUGGCUGGAGCUGGUUUUGUAAAGUGGAGUUGGCUGUGGGUGUGGGAGUCCUCCUCGGAGAGCCUGGUCUGACAGCCCCAGUCAACAGCCCUCCCAUGGGCAUUUGGGCUGCUCCAGUCCCGGCAGGUGCACAGCUCAGGGGAAUCUGGUUUUGUCUUGGUCUCAGCCAGGGAAGUCUAGUUAAAGAAAGAAAAGGUUGGCCGGGUGCAGAGGCUCACACCUGUAAUCCCAGCACUUUGGGAGGCUGAGAUGGGCAGAUCACGAGGUCAGGAGUUUGAGACCAGCAUGGCCAACAUGGUGAAACCCCGUCUCUACUAAAAAUACAAAAAUUAGCUGGGCGUGGUGGCAGAUGCCUGUAAUCCCAGCUACUUGGGAGGCUGAGGCAGGAGAAUUGCUUGAAACCAGAAGGUGGAGGUUGCAGUGAGCCGAGAUCGCGCCACUGCACUCCAGCCUGGGCAACAAGAACAAAACUCUGUCUCAAAAAAAAAAAAAAAAAAAAAAAGGUCUCGGUGGAAAUGGCCUUGAAUCUGGGGUCUCUCUCAUAUUCUAAUCACUCAAUCACUUAACAAAUACUUAUUGAGGGCCUACUAGGUGCCACACAUUGGAAGACAGUGGAGGGUGAAGCAGAGUCUGCCCUCAGGGAGCUUACAGUUUAGAUUACAGGCAAGACAGCCCUUACACACAUAAUUCCAGAUGAGUCAAUAAUGACCAGGGUGCAGAGGCUUUGAAGCAGAAGCAUAAGGUGCAAUGGGAGCAUAAAACAGGGAAGCCUAAUGCAGACUGAGGGGCCUGAGGAGGGUUCCUUGAGAAAGUGAGGUUGAAGCUGAGAACCUGAGGAGUGGUUUUCACGCAGUGCAAUUGAAGGUUGAAAGGGAAGAUCCUCCAAUGCACAAAGAAUUCAUGCUUCAGAAACAUUCUCUUCCUGAGGAUACAUUUGGGAAUUUAGGUAGAAAUUAACUGUCUUGCCUUCAUAUACAGUGUAGUGGAGACCACUGUAGGUCUCCAACUUUUUGUCUUUUCUUAAUAACAAGUCCCCAGUUUUUGCUAGGUACAUAGCUACCCAGAGAAAAGAUUAUGUGGCCACCUUACUAUGUUCUGGCCAAUGAGAUGUCAGCAGAGGUAAUAUGCGGGGCCUCUGAGAAGGCCCUUUCCUGCUACCUGGUACCUGGCUGGAGGCUGAAAAGCCAUUAGGGACGAGACAUGCUAAGGUUGGAGGGUCAGCGUAUUACAUGGAGCCUCCUUCCCUGAUGGCCUUGGGCUGCCAUACCAGCCCUGGAUUGCCUAAUUCCCGACUUCUUUUGUAAAAGGGAGAAAUAAGGGUCAAUUUUUAAAAAAGCAUCUAUUACUUUGACAUUUUCUGUCACACACAGCCAAAUAUAAUCCUAACUACUAUACACAGCUUCUUUUCAGCUUAAUGAAAAGAUCAUUGUUCUGCACUACACAUAAAUUACCUAUUUUAUAGAAAAGUCUGUGAUUACAAUAGCUAUUUUCCCAGCCUCCUUCAUCACCUCCUUGAUCCCCUUAUCCUCCCCUCGGCCCUGCACCUCCUCUCUUUCCUGACUCCCACACCAGAGCUAGGCCUGCCCUGGGCACUUUUGCCUCCAGGAAUGAAUGAGGCUCACAGCCCGAAGGUGCUCCAAGUCUUGGCUACCUUCCCUCAGUGGCUGCCCUGGCAAAGGUCCUGCCGCAGGGAAUCACACAAAGUCCAGCAAAGCAACUGGUCUUUCCUGUCCAUUCUCACCCUUCCCAAGAAAGUGUGAAGAGUUACAAUACUCAGGCAGAGCUGGAAAAAUCAUACCCUUUUAGAGAAUCCACAAGAAUUAUUGGAGGUGCUUUCACUGACCUGCCCUGCCUUGGGUUUUUCAAGCUACGCAGAUGGGUUUUUCAAGCUACGCAGAAUUUAAUGGAUCUGUUUCCCCAGCCUCUGGCUAACCAAAUCCAAAACAUCAAGAGUCAAGGGGAGAAGGUCAGCAUGUUUAGUUACAAACCUUUGGGGCUGUCUGGGGUGAUUGCAGGCCUCAGCAUGCUGGCUUUGGGUGCGGUGAGGCUGGGGAUGCAUAGAAUUCUGUCCCCUCUGCCCCUGCCUCAAAAAAAAAGUUGAAGGCUUAAACCCCAGUACCUCAGACUAUGGCCUUAUUUGGAGAUAGUCUUUACAGAGGUAAUCAAGUUAAAAUGUGGUCAUUAAGGUCAGCCCUAAUCUAAUAUAACUCCUGUCCUUAUGAAAAGGGGAAAUUUGGCCGGGUGCGGUGGCGGCUCAUGUCUGUAAUCCCAGGACUUUGGGAGGCCAAGGGGGCGGAUCACAAGGUCAGGAGUUUGAGACCAGCCUGUCCAAUAUGGUGAAACCCCAUUUCUACUAAAAAUACAAAAAUUAGCCAGGUGUAGGGGCACGCGUCUGUAGUCCCAGCUACUUGGGAGGCUGAGGCAGAAGAACCCGGG